UACGUAGGGGGCGAGCGUUAUUCGGAAUUAUUGGGCGUAAAGGGCGCGUAGGCGGCUUGACAAGUCAAAGGUGAAAUCCCUCGGCUCAACUGAGGAACUGCCUUUGAAACUGUCUGGCUUGAGGCCGGGAGGGGGUAGCGGAAUUCCCAGUGUAGCGGUGAAAUGCGUAGAUAUUGGGAGGAACACCAGUGGCGAAGGCGGCUACCUGGACCGGUUCUGACGCUGAUGCGCGAAAGCGUGGGUAGCAAACAGG
rnacentral:rRNA from 1 species